rnacentral:rRNA from 1 species
GAUGAACGCUGGCGGCGUGCUUAACACAUGCAAGUCGAACGGAAAGGCCCAAGCUUGCUUGGGUACUCGAGUGGCGAACGGGUGAGUAACACGUGGGUGAUCUGCCCUGCACUUCGGGAUAAGCCUGGGCAACUGGGUCUAAUACCGGAUAGGACCACUUCUUGCAUGUUGUGGUGGAAAGUUCUUUCGGUGUGGGAUGAGCUCGCGGCCUAUAAGCGUUUUGGUGGGGUAAUGGCCUACCAGGGCGUCGACGGGUAGCCGGCCUGAGAGAGUGGACGGCCACAGUAGGCUUGAGAGACGGCCCAGAGUCCUACGGGGGGGAGCAGUGGGGAAUAUUGCACAAUGGGCGCAAGCCUGAGGCAGCGACGCCGCGGGAGGGAUGACGGCCUUCGGGUGGUAAACUCCUUUCGCUAGGGACGAAGCGUUUUUGUGACGGUACCUGGAGAAGAAGCACCGGCUAACUACGUG